rnacentral:tRNA from 1 species
GAGGGUAUAGCUUAGUGGUAGAUCGCAUGCUUAGCAUGCACAAAGUCCUGGGUUCAAUCCCCAGUACCUCCA